UAGACGAUGCGUCAUGCAUAUCAAUAAGCGGAGGAAAAGAAACUAACAAUGAUUCCCUUAGUAACGGCGAGUGAAGCAGGGAAAGAGCUCAAAUUUGAAAUCUUCAAGGUUUUACCUUGACGAAUUGUAGUUCAAAGAAGUGUUUUCUGUUGAAGUUUUGGUAAAAGUUCUUUGGAAUAGGACAUCAUAGAGGGCGAGAAUCCCGUAUUUGACCAUUAUUUUCAGCUGUGUGAUACACUUUCAAAGAGUCGGAUUGUUUGGGAAUGCAGUCCAAAAUGGGUGGUAAAUUUCAUCUAAAGCUAAAUAUUGGCGAGAGACCGAUAGCGAACAAGUACCGUGAGGGAAAGAUGAAAAGAACUUUGAAAAGAGAGUUAAACAGUACGUGAAAUUGUCAAAAGGGAAGCGUUUGACACCAGUGUUGUUUUCUCGAAAAUCAAUUAAAAAGAGUUAGAUUUUGUUGUGUAUUGACCUUAACAGCUUGCAUUUCAAUUUUCUUGCUUUUUUUAAUGCACUUUUCGUUUAACAAGUCAACAUCAGGUUUCUUUUGUUGUAAAAAGGUCAUUGGAAGGUGGCUUUCUUUUCGGAGAAAGUGUUUAUAGCCUUUGACUCCUGCAAUCGGAGAGACUGAGGUCUGCAGCGUAGAUCCUUCGGGGUUAGAUACAUUUGUGCUAAGUUAUAGCUUUUUAUAGACAACUUGUUGACUAUGAUUAGUCUUGUAGCUUACUCGCUUAUGCUAUUUUACCUACGCUUAGGAUGUUGAGUCGUAGAGCACGCAG
rnacentral:rRNA from 1 species